UACGGAAGGGGCAAGCGUUGUUCGGAAUCAUUGGGCGUAAAGGGCGCGUAGGUGGUUCUGUAUGUCUACCGUGAAAGCGUACGGCUCAACCGUAUUUUGUCGGUGGAAACUGCAGGACUUGAGGCUGGGAGGGGCUGGUGGAAUUCCCUGUGUAGCGAUGAAAUGCGUAGAGAUGGGGGAGAACACUCGUGGCGAAGGCGGCCAGCUAGACCAGUUCUGACACUGAGGCGCGACAGCGUGGGGAGCAAACAGG
rnacentral:rRNA from 1 species